GACGAACGCUGGCGGCGUGCUUAACACAUGCAAGUCGAACGAUGACGACCGAGCUUGCUCGGUCUGAUUAGUGGCGAACGGGUGAGUAACACGUGAGCAACCUGCCCUUCACUCUGGGAUAACCUCGGGAAAUCGGGGCUAAUACCGGAUAUGAGCUCCUGUAGCAUGGCGGGUGUUGGAAAGUUUUUCGGUGAAGGAUGGGCUCGCGGCCUAUCAGUUUGUUGGUGAGGUGGUGGCUCACCAAGGCGAUGACGGGUAGCCGGCCUGAGAGGGCGACCGGCCACACUGGGACUGAGACACGGCCCAGACUCCUACGGGAGGCAGCAGUGGGGAAUAUUGCACAAUGGGCGAAAGCCUGAUGCAGCGACGCCGCGUGAGGGAUGACGGCCUUCGGGUUGUAAACCUCUUUCAGCAGGGAAGAAGCGAAAGUGACGGUACCUGCAGAAGAAGCGCCGGCUAACUACGUG
rnacentral:rRNA from 1 species